UUUCAUUCCAGAAACUUGAAAAGCAAACUUUCUUUUAGCGUUUAAUAUCUUGAAUUAUGACAUUUUCUGAACUUAUCUGGUGAAUUUGGCCUAAUAAGGUCAAGAUUUACAUAUUUGCGCUGCGAUUUUCAUGUAUUUACAGAAAAAUAGGACCCAAAAUGUCAUCAGCCGGGACAGAUAUCAGACAGAACAACAAGAGUCCAGACGUGAGUAAAUCAGACAGCUGUUACUCAUCAGCAAAAAUGCGAACCAUCACAUGCAAACUGCAGCGGGGCCAAAGUGCAAUAAUAAAGAUCUAACUUUGUUUCGCUCUCUCUCUUUACUCUUUCUUUAGUUUCCCUCUUUAGGACGUUGUGAAGUUUUAUUUCCCGUCAGACUGGUCGUCCAAUUAGAGGAGCUGCAGGAGGAACGUAUCAUUUACACCAUGAAGUAUGUUCAUAUAAGCCUCUUAAAAUGGCUUAUUUCUGCGUGUGUUUGUGCUCCUGCUGUUUUGUACUGAGCUACAGGAGGAGGAGGAGGAGGCCUGGUGUGACCGAAGGCAAAACAUCUAUCAGAGUGAAAAGGCCUGCUGUGCCUCAGCAUACAGUAGUAAUCAUUUUGUGAGCCGCUGUGACUUUAUAGAGGAAAUAGUGGUUAAAAAAAAUCAGCUUUGAUGUUUGUUAUUGGGCUGAAAAAUUCAGAGUCGUCUGCCACCUUCAUGUACAGCCUCCUCCUACCUGCACACCUCCUUCAGACUGAGACUCACACUGUGAGAGCUUACAGCAGUUUGUUGAGUCUGGAGAAAAACAUCUUCAGGAUUCGACACUGAAC